CCCGUCACACCAUGGAAGUGUAUUGCACCAGAAGCAGGUAGCCUGACCGCAAGGAGGGCGCCUACCACGGUGCGAUUCAUGACUGGGGUG
rnacentral:rRNA from 1 species